CCCGCUGCAGGGUUGGUCGACUUGAGAAGGAGCGAAGAUGGCGGAGUGAGGGGCACCCUGGGGAGCCGGCCUUGGGGCCGGGGGCGGGCCCACCCCGGGCGGUCGAGUGCGUCUGAUGGACUGUGGGGGUUCCUCCUCACAAGAAGAACAUUUUCCUUGACCUUUAGGUGCUUUAUAUUUUCUUCAUCUCAGAAAGAAAACAAAAUUCUGAACUCAGGACUUGGCAAGCAUUUCUGUGUUGUCCCCUGGAGCAGGUAGCCCUGCUUCUUGUCUCUUGCACUUUCCCUGUUCUUGAAAUGUGGAUAUCUCUUCUCUACAGUUUACCUCCAGGAUCUGGAAUGGAAAAGGCCGCUUUUCUUUUUGUUCCACCUCUCAAAUCCAACCCAGAGAAGCCUCUAGGAUGCAGUCAUCCUUCCAGCUUCUCCAAAGAAGAAACCAGCUGACAUGGGUCUUCUGCUGCUCUUGGCUUAAUUGUAAGGAAAUUAUUCUGAAAACUGAAGUCUGAUGUUUACUUUGAAACUCAUGCUUUGACGGUGGUAUUUAUGAAUUCUUUACCUCUUGUUUUAUACAAGAAGACUAAAUAGCAAGCAUGGAUGACUUCAGGCUAUUUUUUUGUUUUUUAAAUGUCUUCCAGUUUCAGCCAGUAUCAUGAGAAGCACAGUUCAGACUGCAGCAGUAAAUUCCAAAUAUAUGUUCCAGUUUGGAAUGAAAGAGAUGAUAAGAAAUUACAUAUAAAUCCUAGCUCAUCUCAUGACAUGUAUUUCCUGAACAAACAAAGGUCCAGUUUUGCAGUUAAACCUUGAUGUGAUAAAGAAGCGUAAAGACAAGCUAUCUGGGCAUUAAUUUUCAUAUGUGAAUAAACCAUCACAGUCUCUCUACAAAUACACAUUUUUGCAUGUGUAAAUCCACAUUUUUGGAUGAGAAGAGCAAUUUUUCUUCUAGAGAAGGAAGUCGUGUACACUUUUUUCCUCAGUCUUUGGACAUUGGGAUUUUAAAAUGUUUUUCAUCCAUCCAAGGAAGGACCAUAUUGUAUAGAAGCUAGCCCUCUGAACACAUACUUGGGCUUAGUGAAAGAGUGGUAAAAGAAAACAGUCUUGCAUCCAGUGAGGGAAACCUUUUUAACUCCCUAUGAAGUGAGCCUGCUGUGUUACAAAUUACUUCAUCCUUUGUGGAGUUUUAUAACAGCACUUGUGACUUGGUUUCUCAUGCUGCCACAGCUGCAAGAAGACUGGCAGGAGUGGUUUUUCAGUUCAGAAGAUGUUGAUGGACCCUAUAGCAUGAUCUGCCUUCAGCUGUGUGGGCAACAAGCAGGGGGAGAUGAGAGAAGUUUUCACAUGAUUCCUUUCUCCUAAGAAAAAGAAGCAAAGAUGCCUUAUGCAGCUCCAUCUGACUCUGGCGUUUUACAUUCUUUAGCUCCAUUUUUUAUAAAACUAUAAGUAACUUUGUCCCUUCCAUCCAAGAUGAGUCCUUGGGUGUUUGUUUAUUUUUCUAGGUGAUUGGCAUAAUGUUAGGCUGAAAAGGCUAGGACUCAGGUAACUCUUUCCCUAGUUGGAACUUAAGCUUCUCGUUAGAGAACGGGCCUCAGAAGCAAUGUUUUCAGAUGUGUGGUUGUGUCGUGUAGAUUUAGAAAAAAUUCAGGGUCUGGGGAAAAAAAAAAAAUGCAAGAAAGAGAAUUUCAACCAGAAAUAGAAUCUUCCUUUCCUUCACUUAAAAGUUGUGCCACAUGAACAGACUGUAGAAGAAAGUUAUCCUUACUUCAAACCAACAGGACUAUUGUAUGAGCUGCUAGGUUCUUACAUAAGGGCACGAGAAGUUUGUUUAUGAUGCUUUGUGAUUAGAGAAAAAAUUUAAAAUUUCUCUAGAUGAAAUCAAGAACAGAUAGUCUUAGGUCGUUUGUGCUAGAGGGAAUGUUUGCCCAGAGCCAUGCAUGCUGUGAUGCUAGGAAUUUAGAGCAGAGCAGAUUUACCAGAAUUUGACAUUGAUAGAAAUGGCCAAAAAUGGGAAAUGUUGAACAGUGUAAUGAUCAGUCAUAAAGAAGGCUUUUUAGUAAAAUAAUUAGUAUAGAUAAAAUAUACUUUGCUUUAAUUGAGGACAGUUACUGAGUGGUAAAGCAUAACAGAAAUAACUUUGGUUAAAGGUAACUUAAAUUUUCCUCCAGGUGACCUCCCAGCCACUUUCCGAUGUUUUCUUUUGGUAUUUUGAAAGUGUUAAAAACAGAAUGGAACCUACAUACACGGGUUCCACUAUUAUGUUGAGAAUCUAUCAUGGAGAAUUUGUGUCUUCCAAUUAAUUCCUUGUUACCCAUCUUCCUCAUAUCCUGACAGCUUUUUGGGUAAGACCAUUUGGCAGGGGAUAGUGUACCUGUAUCAGAGCACCAGUGAAACCAGCCCACUUCUGUGAGCAGGUAUCAGACCCUGCUUCUCCAGAUGCUUUAUAUUUUUUCAGUUCAUAGCUAAGAGAACCCAUUAACAGACCCUUUCAAAUUGUUCUUGCCUCUUCCGUAGUUGUCACCAGAUGGCACCUCACAAAAUGAAUAUACUCCAGUUGUACUUGCCCAGUGUUUACUUAAUACAUCUACUUUUUUUUCCUGGUUUAUUUUAGUCCCCUUCCUGAUGGCAGGUAGCCCUGAUGGUGCAGUGGUUAAGUGCUCGGCUGCUAACCCAAAGGUCAGCAGUUCGAAUCCACCAGCUGCUCCUUGGAAACCCUCUGGGGCAGUUCUACUCUGUCCUGUAGGGCUGCUGUGAGUCAGAACCGACUCAACAGCAGCAGGGUUUGGGUAUGCCUUGAUCUUCCGCUUUGCCUCCUUCCAUUCUUUUGCUCAUCCAUGUUAGCUGGCAGUUUUUCUUUUGAAAGUUAAACAAAAACGGGAUAUGUGCAAUAGAAAUAUAUAUAUAUAUGUAUAUUUUAAUACUUGUGGACAAGAUGUUACAAGUUGUUUAAGAACAACAAAAUCACCAAUGUCUUCCAUUUUGAGAUGUGUAUAGUUUUGUAAGCAUUAGUGCUUGGUAGCAAAUUGUAUUGCUGUGUUAGGGAUUAGUGCAUGAGCCUAGUAGUAAUUAUAAACUUCAGGAUGAAUUACUGAUAAUAAUAACCAAUAGUGUAAAAAGAGUGGAAAGUCUAGACCUUUUCUUUUUACAUAAAUAUAUGAAUUUGUGAUAUUCUCCCUUGGGGAAAGGAAAUUAAGGCCAAAAAGACUCGUUUAUAAAAAGACUCAUUUAUGAAUAGGGGGUCACAAUCUGAAAUUUUGUGUUUGAGGGUAUUUAAACUUUCCAUGAAGUAGGUGUAAACCAACUGCCUUAGUGUCUUAGGAAACCUCAAAUCAAAAUGUAGACCCAUUUCCUCAUAGUGCUGUGCUCUCUUAGUUUGAGGUGAGACUGUUCUUACACUGUCUCCACAUUGUAUCUCUUUUAGGUUCAUUAUUUUCCCACCCCUUUUCCAUCAAGUAAUUAUUUUACAUUUUGCAUGUCUGACUAAGAUGCUACAUUAAUUGCUUCAGUGAGUGCUUUUCUAAUCUGCAGACUAUUUACAUUUCCUGCCUGCAGCAUGCUAUGUGUUAUAGGAAAAAUACUUUGUCAAGAGUUCAGAGUGUCCUAGCUCAUGAUUUUGUCAUUUUCCAGAUUAGCUGAAUUGUAUAUUGGUGGCAUUCUAGACCUUGAGAGUUGGAAGUGUAGCUAGGUGGAAUGCAACUAAGUUGCCGUGUAAUAAGUGAACUCUUCGUUGGUUAGAUAGAGUAAGCCUCAGACAGCUUUCACUUUUUUCUACUUUCCUUGUGGAAAUAAAGCAGUUGUUUUAUUUUGAAAGUAUAAUAUAGCUUUCUGUGGAAAAGGAAUUCUUAUCUGUAAAAGCUGCCUUGAGAACUUGGACAUGGCAUUUUUCUGAGGUGAUUUUAAAAUCUCAGUGUUAAGAGACUCUAGGAUUUAUUGAUAGACACAGGAUUCUACAGUUAGUGUGAUAGAAAAUACAAAACAAUUUUAAUGUGUAUCAAGCAGGCUUGAACUAGGAGACCCUUGAGCAGCAGAUGUCCAGGGACCAGGUUGAGAGUCUCAUAGUGUACUUAAAGUAGUUGACCUCUGUGCUCGAGUAGUUUAGCGCCUGGGGGAAUCCAUUUCUGAAAAGCAUUUUGCAAAAUGUUUAAAUACCUCUGAAAAGGUAAUGAAUGCAAAAUAGCACAGUAUAUAGGAAAGGAUAUUUCCUGUUGCAAAAAAAAAAAAAAAAAAAAAAGCCAUAAAAUGAAUUAAUAACUUCAAGAGGUGGACUUUUUGUAGCAAUAAGUUUUGCAUGUAUAGUAAACUGCAUUAGCGAGGUUGUACAGUACAGUAAGUGUUAGCACUUGAGUUUGUGGGGCUCUGUAAUCAACAGAGUUGCCCAAAAGGAAAAGGACAGGUUCUAGAUAAAGAGCAUGUAAAAAAUUUUUUUCUUCCUUUUUAAAAUAGUAUGAAUGUAUAUAAAUAUGUGAUUGUGUGUGAGAAAUGCCCACUUUUCUAUGUUUCCUAAAGCAGUGGGUUAGAGCUGUUGAAAUGAAGCCUUCUAGUGCUUAUUCACCUGGAAACAAAUGUACUAGAGCCCCACUGAAGCAGUCAUGUGGGUGUUCGCUCACUGUUCCUUUAGCAAUAGGCAUUUACUCCAGAAUGGCAUUACUUUUUUGCUUGGUCACCUCAUUUCUUGCUAUUGAUUUUCUGGGUGCAUUUUUAAAAGGUAAGUUUAUUGUAUGUUUAGGGUUAAAAAAAAAAAAAAAAAAAACUUA